AGUGAACGCUGGCGGUAGGCCUAACACAUGCAAGUCGAACGGCAGCACAGUAAGAGCUUGCUCUUACGGGUGGCGAGUGGCGGACGGGUGAGGAAUACAUCGGAAUCUACUUUUUCGUGGGGGAUAACGUAGGGAAACUUACGCUAAUACCGCAUACGACCUACGGGUGAAAGCAGGGGAUCUUCGGACCUUGCGCGAUUGAAUGAGCCGAUGUCGGAUUAGCUAGUUGGCGGGGUAAAGGCCCACCAAGGCGACGAUCCGUAGCUGGUCUGAGAGGAUGAUAGGCCACACUGGAACUGGGACACGGACCAGACUCCUGCGGGAGGCAGCAGUGGGGAAUAUUGGACAAUGGGCGCAAGCCUGAUCCAGCCAUACCGCGUGGGUGAAGAAGGCCUUCGGGUUGUGAAGCCCUUUUGUUGGGAAAGAAAAGCAGCAGGUUAAUACCCCGCUGUUCUGACGGUACCCAAAGAAUAAGCACCGGCUAACUUCGUG
rnacentral:rRNA from 1 species